rnacentral:lncRNA from 1 species
GUGUGAAUGGUUGAAGUACGGCCGCUGGGAUUGGCCAAGACUCAGCCGUUGUUACAGGCACAUACUCCUAAGGCUUUGGAUGAAGAGAAGUGGUUGGAAGGAGGGAAGUGGAGCAUCAUGAAUGGCUGGACAAAUGAACACAGCACCUGCCAUGUGCCAGCCCUCAGAUUGCUGCAGAGGGCACCUGAAGCAUGAUUUUGCCUUACCUUAAAAUGUCACCUGUAACAGAUCUACGAGUCCUCUGCCUUAUCCUCUCGGUCCCAGGCCCACAAAGACUCUCCAUAGCCCCUGCUGCGAGGGCUGCCUCGAGGUGCACACUCAUGGCCAAGGACUGACAGUUAUGAGGGCAUAAACCCUGCAGCUUUCCUGCCCCCUGAUCAGACACCUGUGGGCAUAAGCCUCACUGUCCAGAGCUCCCCGUGGGAUUGAGUGGGCAUAACCCUGCCUGGGUCUUUGUUGAUAUUGCAGCUGGUUGGGCUUUCAUCCCUCCUCACUCCCCAACAGUGGGGUUUUCUUGUCAAUGCUCUCUAAGAAACUCCUUUGAGAUGUCGCCUCAGGGUCCACUUCUGAGGAAACCCAGACUAAGACAGUGCUAUUUUGAUUCCUCAUAAAUAUUUUCAAUCCUCCAAUUUUGAUUCAUGAAACUCAGAAAAUGAAUCUUAAGUAAAUGUCUGCUAUUGUCACAUCCCAUGUGAUCUCUAGUUUUACUUUCUUAAGGAUUUUCAUGGAAACCCUGCCUCGAGGCAGAAUUACAAGACGAGUGAUAUUGAAAAGGAGACAAUCUAUUAUCCACAUGACUGUUUUAACCAAAUUACCUUCUAAGUUGUGACACAGGGUCCCUCAAAAUUUGAGAAAGAAUUUGAGUUCUUGUCAUCUGUAUUAGUUCACCGAGAAUGAAUCCUCAAAUGAUAAAUGAAGGGGUAAGAAGAUGUGUACAAAUGCAAGGCUGCCCUCUGAGCCCCACAGGGUGGUGUCUGCCCUGUACCAAGAGACCCCCUCACCAGGGCCUGCCUCUGCAGCCCCUGUGAUCACCUAGCAAAUCCACCAUCCCCCACCACAGACUGUCUUUAUUAGAUAGAAGUGAAGGCGCAGCAGAGGGGAGCAGGUCUUUCUCCAGCCACUGCACGCAUAUGUGAUCUUUGACCUCAUCCCCUGUGCCACCCUGAAGCUCAAGAGAGGCCCAGAUGCCAUUGAUUUUCAUGUGCUGAUGUCGCUUUGGUACAACAGUGCCCUCGAUAUAUACAAUUCAUGAUUUAAAAAAAAAAUCAAGGCUAAAUUUAUAAGAUGAAUUUGCCUAACUCUCUGGUUUUUUAAAGCAUAUUACAGUACUUUUAUUGUUGCCAGGAAAGCUGUUGACUUAGGCUUCCUGGUGAUGCCAUGGAGGUGGGUGAGUUCGUCCAGAGAAGGUAAAAGCUAUAAGAGUUCAUUCUUUUGAGCUUUUAUACUUAACGCUCUGUGAUGUAAAAUUUGUAGCAAAUUCCCUGUACGUGUUUUUCUUCAGAGUACAUGUGACACAUUUCCUGAUACCUGCUAAAAGUUGAUUUUUAACAGAGUAAAACAUUUUGGAAGAAGGUAGCAUGGAGUGUCGUGUAAAACUGCACUCUAGACAUCCACACCUGCUGCUCUGAGGUGUGUAUUCUAUUUGAUUAUUGAAGUAGGGUGGAGGUGUUUGUUAAAUAUUUGGAGACAUGUGAUGCUUAGGAUGUGUUUGUUUUGUUUUUACAUAUAUCCCUGUUUUACAAGGCAAAAAGAUUUUUUAGUAUCUCCAAAUUAUUGUUUUUCUCCAUUCUCUUCACCCAAUUUCUUUUUCCACUACUUUUUUUCAUUUAAUCCUGCCCGUAAUCUGAUAUACGGACCACCAAAUCAUCUCCAUUGCAAAUCACCUGAGCUCGCUGACUUUCCAGCCAACAUAUGGACAGCCACUUGCCCCUUUUACCCCCCACACACAUGGUGACGGGGCCAUUGUUUUAUGGCCCAGUUCUGGAGGACAUUUCCUCAGUCAUCAUUCCACAGGCUUUCAACGGGUCUCUGAGAAAUAUGCUCAUCUUCUGGAAGGAUAAUUUUUUUUUCUCUUGUGAUAGCCUGAACAUCAGUCUUUGGAUAGUAAUUGUUGUGAUUUUUAUGAUUAACAUAUCUGGCAGCUCAUCCCUUUAUUCACUUGCUUAUUAUUCAUGCAACAGGCCUUUAUGAGUUUGCUGCAUAUCAUUAUUAGACUUUACAAAUGGCUGCCAAAAAUGACCAGAAAUCUUGGGGGAUGACAGCACCAAAUAGCUCAUAGGAAAAGAAUAGGAAGUGUGAAUUGAUCACCUUCCUAACACUUAGGGGUAAACCAGAGAGUUAGCCAAAGAAAAGAAGAAAUGAAGAUAAACCUAGAAUCGCAUCCCUCUUCAGAUUUGAUAUACAAGAGACCCUCUUAGCCCAUCUCCACCCAACAGGCCAGCUGGACCAAUCAUCCCUCAUGAUUUAUUGCCCUGGAAAACACACAGACUCAGGC